UCCGGAGGGUGCAAGCGUUAUCCGGAUUUACUGGGUUUAAAGGGAGCGCAGGCGGAUUGGUAAGUCAGUGGUGAAAUACCCGUGCUUAACAUGGGAACUGCCAUUGAUACUAUCAGUCUUGAAUAUCGUUGAGGUUUGCGGAAUGGGUCAUGUAGCGGUGAAAUGCAUAGAUAUGACCCGGAACACCUAUUGCGAAGGCAGCAGGCUAAACGAAGAUUGACGCUGAGGCUCGAAAGCGUGGGGAUCAAACAGG
rnacentral:rRNA from 1 species